rnacentral:rRNA from 1 species
UACAGAGGGUGCGAGCGUUAAUCGGAAUUACUGGGCGUAAAGCGCACGUAGGCGGCUUGGUAUGUCGGGUGUGAAAUCCCCGGGCUCAACCUGGGAACUGCAUCCGAAACUGCCUUGCUAGAGUAUGGGAGAGGGAAGUGGAAUUUCCGGUGUAGCGGUGAAAUGCGUAGAUAUCGGAAGGAACAUCAGUGGCGAAGGCGACUUCCUGGACCAACACUGACACUGAGGAGCGAAAGCCAGGGGAGCAAACGGG